UACGAAGGGGGCUAGCGUUGCUCGGAAUCACUGGGCGUAAAGGGUGCGUAGGCGGGUCUUUAAGUCAGGGGUGAAAUCCUGGAGCUCAACUCCAGAACUGCCUUUGAUACUGAGGAUCUUGAGUUCGGGAGAGGUGAGUGGAACUGCGAGUGUAGAGGUGAAAUUCGUAGAUAUUCGGAAGAACACCAGUGGCGAAGGCGGCUCACUGGCCCGGUACUGACGCUGAGGCACGAAAGCGUGGGGAGCAAACAGGG
rnacentral:rRNA from 1 species